rnacentral:misc_RNA from 1 species
UACGGAGGGGGCUAGCGUUGUUCGGAAUUACUGGGCGUAAAGCGCACGUAGGCGGACCAGUCAGUCAGAGGUGAAAUCCCGGGGCUCAACCCUGGAACUGCCUUUGAUACUGGUAGUCUAGAGUCCGGGAGAGGUGAGUGGAAUUCCGAGUGUAGAGGUGAAAUUCGUAGAUAUUCGGAGGAACACCAGUGGCGAAGGCGGCUCACUGGUCCAGAACUGACGCUGAGGUGCGAAAGCGUGGGGAGCAAACAGG